GGAGGUUUUUACACGAUCUUGUAUUGUGGGAAUGGAUUCUGCUGUUAGUUGUGAGAUUGAAGUCGAAAUCUAUCAGUCCGUUAGUGCAUUUGUAGAUAUCUUGCUAUGUUAUCUGGUAUGGAUUCGUUUGUGAUUAAGUGGAGUUGGUAUGUGUUAAAUGGUUAUUUAAAAUCAUCAAAAAUUAUGCAUUAAAAUACAGUGAAAGUAUUAAAGUCGAUAUUAAAGUAAAAGGCGGAAUGGCAUGUGGAAAUCGGAAUUGACUGCGGAUUGCAGAAUGGCUGUGAAGUGCAGACAUUGAACCCUGAAGACCCGAGUUAACUGGUUUACAAGGGCCUAUGUUUGGACGAUCUCAGCUAUAGCCUGUUCGUAGGUAUGUAUACGAAAAUAAUACAAGGCCUAUAAACCAAACAUGUCAAACAGUUACAACUACACCAAGAUGAAAACAAUCAGCCGUCACUGCGUAUCCUACAUAAUUUAUCUGAUUGGAAUCCUCAAACCGACCCUCUACAAGCGGCAAUUGAUAAAACUAGAAUAGUGAAGCGAAUAGUCGACGAAUAGUACGAAUAGUCCGCGAAUAGUCCGCGAAUAGUCGACGAAUAGUGCAAUAGAGACUUUGCAAGGCUUUGCAGCAGUGCUGUAGAACUAAAUUUACCGGGGGGGGGGCUCUGUUGACAAACAUGAAAUCGUGAAAACAUUCGUCGACGUACGUCAAUGACGUCAUACGUCUAGUGAUUGUCAUCAGUGGCGCCGUGGCCGGCAUGGCCCUCCCCUAUUGUUGACACCCGUCGUAAAAUUGCCAAUGCUGCCGGAAAUUGUCUGAAAAUUGUCAAGGCUGUCGG